AUGGAGGCGACCUCAAAGGUCUGCAACUUCGAUGAGGCUCUCUAUGGCCAUGAAGGCACCUGCAGGGACCCAAUUGUGGAAGCCAAACCUAGCACCCAGCAGGGCUCUCAGUGCAACGGCGCUACGUGGGAGAAUAGUUUGACGACGAGAUUCGGUACAGAUGGUUGCCGCAAGGGGCGCAAGGCCGUAGCGCCAUGGAGAUUCCAGAUUGGGUAUAAGCGGCCGCGGUCACAGGGUUUAAGCCAGGACGACGGAUCUGAUGGAGUUCCUGCAACUGGAACUUCCAAGUCAACCAGUCUUAUAGGGGCUGCUGCUUCUGUACCCAAGAAGACGACGAAGGUUGAUAAGGGUGAUCGUCAUCGUGCAAUGCCAAAGAACAAAGUCGCCAUCAGCAGAGAAAGCGUCAUGGCUUCUUUGCGGGAAUUCCGGGUAAUUUACAGGCAGCUUCUGGCCGAGGAGAAGGCGAAAUGCAAUAAACAAGAACAUGAUCUUGCAGCUUUUCAAGUCUUCAGGGAGAGGCUAUGUGUUGAAUUUGAUGAUAGGAGGUACGUGGGCAGCGUCCCUGGAGUUCAUGUUGGUGACUUGUUUGAUUCGGACGCCGAGCUUUUCCUUGUUGGUCUCCAUCGUUCACAGCAGUCGCGUGUUGAUUACAUCAACCAGAACGGGGGCAGGACAUGUCUAGCCAUUAGCAUCGUGUCGUACGCGCAACAGUCAGCCCAAAAUAGCAAUCUGGAUUUCUUGCUACAUGUUGGAUCUGUGGCUGCCACCACUGGCCAGAACAUGGAAGGCACCGACUUGGCGCUAAAGCAGAGUAUGGAUACCAAAACACAUGUGCGUGUCAUUUAUAGGUUUGUCAUGACCGGCCGUGAGGAGCUUACAUACUAUGUUUAUGGUGGUUUAUAUUUGGUCGAGAAAUUUAGCAAAGAGAAACUGAGGGAAGACAAACAUAUUAGCACUUUUCAUCUGAGAAGAUUGUCGGGGCAACCGAGCAUCAACAUUCACGAACUUGUGGAAAAAAGAAUGGCUGAACCAUCCAAUGGAACUUUUACUGUAGAUAUAUCGUCAGGUCUUGAGAAGAUCCCUAUAUCUGCAAUCAACUCCAUAUCAAACGAGGCCCCGGCUCCAUUUCGCUACAUUUCACACAUACAAUACCUCAGGAAGUAUCAGCUAGAUCCUCCAUCAGGUUGUGAUUGUGUUGGUCGAUGUUCGGACUCGCAAAAGUGUGCAUGUGUAAUGAAAAAUGGUGGGAAGAUCCCUUUCAGAAAGACCGGUGGUCUCCUAGAGGAAAAACCUCUUAUUUACGAGUGUGGACCUUCAUGCAAGUGCCCUCCAACUUGUCGCAAUAGAGUAGGCCAACAUGGAAUUAGUUUUCGCCUUCAAGUCUUCAAGACAACAUCAAUGGGUUGGGGAGUACGAAGCCUUGAUUUUAUACCUACGGGACAUUUUGUGUGUGAAUAUAUAGGGGAGUUGUUGGAUAAUGAAGAUGCUCAGGAGAGGGAUAAUGAUGAGUACUUGUUCCUUAUUGGAAACAACUAUUAUGAUGUAUCCCGCUGGGACAACUUACAAAAGACUAUCCCCUCACUUAUGAAUGGCCCUGGGGAAGAGGAAGAAAAUUUCUUUGCAGUGGACGCACUGAAAUGUGGCAACCUUGCAAGGUUCAUCAACCAUAGCUGCACCCCUAACCUUUUCACACAAAAUGUUCUCUAUGACCAUGACAACAAGGGUAUGCCUCACAUCAUGCUCUUUGCUUGUGAGGAUAUUCAGCCUCUUGAACCACUAUCAUAUGACUAUAAUUAUACCAUAGAUGGGGUCCAUGACUCUGAAGGUAACAUCAAGAAGAAACGAUGCUUAUGUGGCUCUGUUGAGUGCACUGGAUGGUUGUACUAG
rnacentral:rRNA from 1 species